rfam:Strongyloides ratti strain ED321 Heterogonic genome assembly, chromosome: 2
GUUGGAUAUGGUGAUUUAGUUCCUACAGGAACUUAUGGUAAAUUAGUUGGAUCUCUUUGUGCAUUACUUGGUGUAUUAACUUUAGCAUUACCUGUUCCUAUAAUUGUUGCAAAU